rnacentral:rRNA from 1 species
UUGCUUCUCUUGAGAGCGGCGGACGGGUGAGUAAUGCCUAGGAAUCUGCCUGGUAGUGGGGGAUAACGUCCGGAAACGGACGCUAAUACCGCAUACGUCCUACGGGAGAAAGCAGGGGACCUUCGGGCCUUGCGCUAUCAGAUGAGCCUAGGUCGGAUUAGCUAGUUGGUGGGGUAAUGGCUCACCAAGGCGACGAUCCGUAACUGGUCUGAGAGGAUGAUCAGUCACACUGGAACUGAGACACGGUCCAGACUCCUACGGGAGGCAGCAGUGGGGAAUAUUGGACAAUGGGCGAAAGCCUGAUCCAGCCAUGCCGCGUGUGUGAAGAAGGUCUUCGGAUUGUAAAGCACUUUAAGUUGGGAGGAAGGGCAGUAAAUUAAUACUUUGCUGUUUUGACGUUACCGACAGAAUAAGCACCGGCUAACUCUGUGCCAGCAGCCGCGGUAAUACAGAGGGUGCAAGCGUUAAUCGGAAUUACUGGGCGUAAAGCGCGCGUAGGUGGUUCGUUAAGUUGGAUGUGAAAUCCCCGGGCUCAACCUGGGAACUGCAUUCAAAACUGACGAGCUAGAGUAUGGGUAGAGGGUGGUGGAAUUUCUCUGUGUAGCGGUGAAAU